rnacentral:rRNA from 1 species
CAGCAGCCGCGGGAACACGUAGGUGGCAAGCGUUGUCCGGAAUUAUUGGGCGUAAAGGGCUCGCAGGCGGUUUCUUAAGUCUGAUGUGAAAGCCCCCGGCUCAACCGGGGAGGGUCAUUGGAAACUGGGAAACUUGAGUGCAGAAGAGGAGAGUGGAAUUCCACGUGUAGCGGUGAAAUGCGUAGAGAUGUGGAGGAACACCAGUGGCGAAGGCGACUCUCUGGUCUGUAACUGACGCUGAGGAGCGAAAGCGUGGGGAGCGAACAGGAUUAGAUACCCCUGUAGUCCCUGUCUCUUAUAC